rnacentral:lncRNA from 1 species
UAAGAAUAAGAAAGUUAGCCCGCCAACCUUCGUGGUGACCAACCUAAUUCCUCGGCGACCCAAGAAUCCCUUCGACUGGGAAGCAGACUUGGACUCAAUUUUGACCGACGAAGACAACUUUGCUGCCUUGGCCAGAUGCAAUUGGGUCUUGGGCGAUUUACAAAUCGAGGUUGGUUAGAGCUCAUGCCAGGACUUAGCGAAGUAGACUUUCCUGAAUUUGGCCUGUGAGCCAUGUAAUAGCUAGUACUAUUUUUUGAUGACAUCUGCAAGAAAAACCCUUAUAUCGCUUUUUGAGGCGAUUUGAAAUA